rnacentral:tRNA from 1 species
UAGGCUGAGGCCCGCUGGAUGGGGUGUUUAGUUGUUAACUAAUAUUUUACGGGAUCGAGGCCCGUCUGUCUAG